ACGCUGGCGGCAGGCCUAACACAUGCAAGUCGAGCGGUAGAGAGAAGCUUGCUUCUCUUGAGAGCGGCGGACGGGUGAGUAAUGCCUAGGAAUCUGCCUGGUAGUGGGGGAUAACGUUCGGAAACGGACGCUAAUACCGCAUACGUCCUACGGGAGAAAGCAGGGGACCUUCGGGCCUUGCGCUAUCAGAUGAGCCUAGGUCGGAUUAGCUAGUUGGUGGGGUAAUGGCUCACCAAGGCGACGAUCCGUAACUGGUCUGAGAGGAUGAUCAGUCACACUGGAACUGAGACACGGUCCAGACUCCUACGGGAGGCAGCAGUGGGGAAUAUUGGACAAUGGGCGAAAGCCUGAUCCAGCCAUGCCGCGUGUGUGAAGAAGGUCUUCGGAUUGUAAAGCACUUUAAGUUGGGAGGAAGGGUUGUAGAUUAAUACUCUGCAAUUUUGACGUUACCGACAGAAUAAGCACCGGCUAACUCUGUGCCAGCAGCCGCGGUAAUACAGAGGGUGCAAGCGUUAAUCGGAAUUACUGGGCGUAAAGCGCGCGUAGGUGGUUAGUUAAGUUGGAUGUGAAAUCCCCGGGCUCAACCUGGGAACUGCAUUCAAAACUGACUGACUAGAGUAUGGUAGAGGGUGGUGGAAUUUCCUGUGUAGCGGUGAAAUGCGUAGAUAUAGGAAGGAACACCAGUGGCGAAGGCGACCACCUGGACUGAUACUGACACUGAGGUGCGAAAACGUGGGGAGCAAAC
rnacentral:rRNA from 1 species